UUCUUGCAACAAUUGGAUCCAAUCCACUCUCGUAUUCUUUACCAAGAAAUACGCAACGCAAUCUAAGGUGAGUAUACUCGAUCCCAUUUUUAUUUUUAAACACUUUUGGGUGCAACAUGUGUUCUAUACAAAAACACGCAACGCUUGAAACUUGUUAUAUGCACACUCUAUCCAUUUUAAACAUGACACAAUUUGAUGCUUGUUAAUCUCGUAUGCUAGGUAAACUUUUCGUGUCUAUAUGCUCAUUAACCUUGUUAAACUUAUUAAACUUGUUAGACUUGUUAAACUUGUUAAACUUGUGAGACUUGUUAGACUUCUUAUAUUUAUUAAACUCCUAUGCUAUAGGAGUAUGCACCGCCCUUGAGUGAGUCUUGGGGUGUUUGCGUUGGAAACUUGGGUUUGACAUAUAGUGACACUGUUUCAGCAUAUUAGUAACUUGUAUUAUGUUGUUCAUGUUGGAUAUGAGUACUUAAACUAUUUUAUUCUACUAUGCUACGUAUCAAACUUGUAUACUCGCCAACAUUUUUUUGUUGAUGUUAUUUUAAUACAUGUUGCAGGUUGAUAGACGAAGUGAUGAAGAAAUCAAGUUAGGGUGGACUAGAAACUCACCUAGAAAAUAAACUAUGUUUGAAAUUUGAUUUAUGUUUUGAUCAUGUUGAACAAUGUAUGACAUUUGAGCCAUUUAUGAAAUUUGACU
rnacentral:lncRNA from 1 species